CUUGGUCAUUUAGAGGAAGUAAAAGUCGUAACAAGGUCUCCGUUGGUGAACCAGCGGAGGGAUCAUUACAGAGUUGCAAAACUCCCAACCAUUGUUAACCUUACCAUUACCGUUGCUUCGGCGGGUGGCUCCCUUCGGGGCGCUGCGCCCUCCCUUGCGGAAGGCAGCCCGCCAGAGGUACACUAAACUCUCGUAUUAAUUGGCAUCUCUGAGUAACUUAUAAAAUAAGUCAAAACUUUCAACAACGGAUCUCUUGGUUCUGGCAUCGGUGAAGAACGCAGCGAAAUGCGAUAAGUAAUGUGAAUUGCAGAAUUCAGUGAAUCAUCGAAUCUUUGAACGCACAUUGCGCCCGCUAGUAUUCUGGCGGGCAUGCCUGUUCGAGCGUCAUUUCAACCAUCAAGCCCUAGGUUUGUGUUGGGGCCCUGCGGCCGUCCGCAGCCCCCGAAAAGCAGUGGCGGGCUCGCUGUAGUACCGAGCGUAGUAAUAUAUCUCGCGAGGAUGUUAUAGUGUGUUCUGGCCGUUAAACCCCCCAAUUAUCAAGGUUGACCUCGGAUCAGGUAGGAAUACCCGCUGAACUUAAGCAUAUCAAUAAGCGGAGGA
rnacentral:rRNA from 1 species